UCCUGGGUGACCGAUAGUGAAGUAGUACCGUGAGGGAAGGGUGAAAAGACCCCCAUCGGGGAUGAAAUAGAACAUGAAA
rnacentral:ncRNA from 1 species